rnacentral:misc_RNA from 1 species
AACCUUAUGGACCUGCGGGCGUAUACCUGCGGAGGGAUCAUUACAGAGUUGCAAAACUCCCUAAACCAUUGUGAACGUUACCUAAACCGUUGCUUCGGCGGGCGGCCCGGGUCCUUCCCGGCGCCCAUCGGCCCUCGCGGGCGCCCGCCGGAGGUAAACCAAACUAUUGCAUUGUAUGGCCUCUCUGAGUCUUCUGUACUGAAUAAGUCAAAACUUUCAACAACGGAUCUCAGAUCGGAA